UACGUAGGGUCCGAGCGUUGUCCGGAAUUAUUGGGCGUAAAGCGCGCGCAGGCGGUCCUUUAAGUCUGAUGUGAAAGCCCACGGCUCAACCGUGGAGGGUCAUUGGAAACUGGGGGACUUGAGUGCAGAAGAGGAAAGCGGAAUUCCACGUGUAGCGGUGAAAUGCGUAGAGAUGUGGAGGAACACCAGUGGCGAAGGCGGCUUUCUGGUCUGUAACUGACGCUGAGGCGCGAAAGCGUGGGGAGCAAACAGG
rnacentral:rRNA from 1 species